rnacentral:rRNA from 1 species
GGGUUGUGAGGUUAAGCGACUAAGCGUACACGGUGGAUGCCCUGGCAGUCAGAGGCGAUGAAGGACGUGCUAAUCUGCGAUAAGCGCCGGUAAGGUGAUAUGAACCGUUAUAACCGGCGAUUUCCGAAUGGGGAAACCCAGUGUGACUCGUCACACUAUCAUUAACUGAAUCCAUAGGUUAAUGAGGCGAACCGGGGGAACUGAAACAUCUAAGUACCCCGAGGAAAAGAAAUCAACCGAGAUUCCCCCAGUAGCGGCGAGCGAACGGGGAGGAGCCCAGAGCCUGAAUCAGCAUGUGUGUUAGUGGAAGCGUCUGGAAAGGCGCGCGAUACAGGGUGACAGCCCCGUACACAAAAGCGCAUGUGCUGUGAGCUCGAUGAGUAGGGCGGGACACGUGAUAUCCUGUCUGAAUAUGGGGGGACCAUCCUCCAAGGCUAAAUACUCCUGACUGACCGAUAGUGAACCAGUACCGUGAGGGAAAGGCGAAAAGAACCCCGGCGAGGGGAGUGAAAAAGAACCUGAAACCGUGUACGUACAAGCAGUGGGAGCACCCUUUGGGGUGUGACUGCGUACCUUUUGUAUAAUGGGUCAGCGACUUAUAUUCUGUAGCAAGGUUAACCGAAUAGGGGAGCCGGAGGGAAACCGAGUCUUAAC